rnacentral:rRNA from 1 species
UACGUAGGGUGCGAGCGUUGUCCGGAAUUAUUGGGCGUAAAGAGCUUGUAGGCGGUUUGUCGCGUCUGCUGUGAAAAUUCGAGGCUCAACCUCGAACUUGCGGUGGGUACGGGCAGACUAGAGUGUGGUAGGGGCAGAGGGAAUUCCUGGUGUAGCGGUGAAAUGCGCAGAUAUCAGGAGGAACACCGGUGGCGAAGGCGGGUCUCUGGGCCGAUACUGACGCUGAGGAGCGAAAGCGUGGGGAGCAAACAGG